rnacentral:lncRNA from 10 species
CUGGAGUAGUGUCAUGUUUGGGGAGCAGAAUAGGAAGGUGGAAACGGACAUAUGGGAAGAAAACGGUAGCCAGAGCCCAAGCGCCACCAAGUUGGCACCAAACCAAAGUCUUUGGAAGAGAAUUACAGCUCUGUCUGAGUGAGGAUAAAGUGAUUGAUGUAGCAUAAAGGUCACAAUGAAUAAACAAAAUCUGAUUCAGAGACUAUGCCAAGCCAGGUGAUAAGAUCUUGAAGAACCAAGAUCCAGAGAGAAGUGAAAGGAAUCAGUGUUCCAUGGAACGGAAGUGCAUCAGGAAAGGAAAGAGAAAACAGAUUCAGACUAAAGCACGUGCCUGACAAUGUGUCUGCUGCAUUGCAUGAGGCAGCCUUGCUGCAGCCAACCAUAGUGGGUGCCCUUGUAGGUCCAAUUAAGAGGCUUAAUUGAAGAAUUCCAAGUUAGCAGACUGUCCUGGCACUCAGAGGAUAUUGUGCCUGGUAAUGAUAGUGUUGAAUUGGACAGAAAGAAUAUUCACAAAGGUGGCUGUCCAUAUCCAUGGGUUCUGUAUCCAUAGAUGCAGAAUUCUUGAAUACAGAGGGUUGACUGGGAGAUCUGACAUCUGCAGGUUUUGGUAUCCGUGGAAGGUUCUGCAACCAAUCUCUGGUGGAUGUGAGAGGUGAUUGUACUUAAGCUUCAAGAAAGGCCUCCUCUGCUAAAAAUGCUCUCUGAUUAGCCAUUCACUGCUUCCUGAACUAUGAAGACAUCUUCUAGGAAUACUCAGGAUCUUCUGCUAUGUGGCUUUAAUUUAUUUUAAGAUUAAUUCCUCAUUACCUUCUUACACAAAGCCACCAUUAGCAUAUCAAGCACAGCUGUACAAAUUUUUAAAAGGCCAAAAGAUGUAUCUGCCAAUUCUAGGAGGAUAUAAACCUGAAGGCACAAAUCUGGGCUGGAGCACAUGGUUUCCCUUGUGAGAAGAAAAAGUCUCCUUCCUCUGAAUGGACACACCUUGCACACCAGGGCACAAGGUUUGUCUAGAAGAGCACAGCUGAACAUCAUAAAGUGCAGAACCACACACCUGGCAUCCUUGUCCCUACACAAGUUUAGACGGGGUUUCACCGGUUAGCCAGGAUGGUCUCGAUCUCCUGAUCUCGUGAUCCGCCUGCCUCGGCCUCCCAAAGUGCUGAGAUUACAGACAUGAGCCACCACGCCCGGCCACCUUGGAUCCUUUAAAAGUAAUGUAUGGUUUAAGGAGGAAAUUUGGUUGAAUACGUUUAAGGAAAUAUUAAUCCAACCUGUUUAAUAAACAUUACCUGUGAACAUUGCAUUUUGAAACUGUUCAAAUAUACCAAAUGAUUCAUAUUAAUUAGAACAAAAAGUCCAAAAAGAGAAAACUACAAAUUCUAUUACACUAUUUAAAAUAGCAUACAAAAACAAUUUUGAGCAAAAUAAUGUAAAAGUAGAAACUGAUAAAUUAAAAAAUAGAAACGUAGAAUUAAUUCAAUUUAAUCCCUGUAUCAUUGGAUACACACACAGACAUCAAAGAGAGAGAGAACAUGAAAUAUAUUAGAACAUUAGGUAUGAGAAGAAGGUAUAUAUCCAAAAUUAAAUAUAAAUUUAACUGCUAUCUGGGUUAUUAUUUUAAAAUCUCACUUAAAUGAAUCUAUAUCUGAGCAGAUACAAAUUAUUUACAUUUUUCUAAAGGGUUAACUGAUAAAUUCUCAAAACAUUUCAACUAUCAGAAAAAUCAUCAUACUGUGUAAACAACUGCAGAAAACACAAAAUAAUAAAUUCUCAUGUUUUCAAACUAACAAAAUUCUUCUCUUAAUGAUUUCCAAAACACAUAAAAAGAAAAUGACAGAUCAUUCCUAAUAUUUAUUCAAAUUUUUUAAAAAAAUUAACGAUAUAAUCCAGCAGUAUGUUAUAGAAAUAAUAAGUAAAAUUAGUUCUAAUAUGACAAAGGUGAUUUAAUAUUUGAGAAUAUGUAAUAUGAAGCAAGUCAUUCCAAAUGAAAAUUUCGUAAACAUAAUUUUAUUUUUGUAAUGGCAUUUUAGAAGAUUUCAAUUAUUCUGUAAUUAAAAAUUUAGCUAUUUUAGGGUAAGAGAGAUUCCAUGAAUAUAGUGAAUAGUAAAUAACCUACAUCAUUGUUCAUUUUCAUUCAAAUUAAUAAUAAAAUGACCUUACUUUCUUUGACCAGAAACAUUCAUAAUUGUUCUGGCAAUUCUGAUCAGUGAAUGAUGAAACAGAAUUAGAGUUCUGUUUCUAAUUAUUUCAAGGAAAAGGGUGAGGUUGAAGAUAUCCUAUCUAAAACUUUAUGUAAUAUAUAUAAUAUAUAUAGAUGAUAUAUAGAUAUCUAUUAUAUCUAAUGGAUAUACAGACAUUACAUAAGCCUUAAAGAGUCAGUCAAUACUUGUUAUUUAUAUAAGUUCAGUAUUUUUUUGACUAUAAAUACUCAAAAUAAAUUAUGUCAUCAACCAAAGAUGAAAAAUAAUUUCAUUUACAAUUGCUCCUCCAAAAAGUCACAAAAACGACAUGGGAAUAAUUAUAGAAAAAAACUAAUAGUAUAAUAAUAAUAAAUUACAAAAAUUUUUAGAUUUAUCAAUUAAAUUUAAAUGUAUGGAUAAUCACAGUUUGACCCUAGAUUUUAAAAAAUCAAUUCUUUCUAAACAUUUUAUUAGUUUAUACAAAAUAAAUUAAAACUCCAUGGUACUGAUUUUGUCUCUUACCAAAAUUUUUGCCAAGUUAUCUGGAAAAAUUAAUUUCCAGGAAUAAUUAUGAAAAAAUAAAGUCCAUUGCCCAAAAUACUGUACUGAGGAAAAGAUUAUUUCUUAUAAACAGUCAUAUUAAGUUUUUCUUCUCAUCUUGUAUCUCAAAAUAAAUUUCAGGUUGAUUAAAGUAUCAAAGUUAUAAAAUGAAAAUAUUAAUGGAAAACUGAAUAAAAUACAGGUCAAUAUUGAACUGAUUUGUGGAUAGGAAAUAAAAUGAAAUGAUUGAAAAUAUAACACAAAUUUAAUAUAUUGCUAAAUAAAAAUAAAUGGUACUGAAGAACAUUACUAAAAUUAAAUGUAAAUGAAGAACUAGGAACACUAUAAGCAAUGCAACUAAAAAUUGGUAUAUUUAAUCUAAUCUAUUAAAAGCAUUCUAGUAACAGACCGUGGAUGUGAGAAGACAACACAAGGAAUAUGACCAGAAAAUAAAAAUUAAACAUAUUUAAUUUUAAUUAUAAAUGCUAUUAAAAUCAAAUUGAUUUAUUAACAGUAAUUCACAAACAUUCAGGAACGAUAAAAAUAAUAAUACUUAAUAAGCUAAACAGGGAAUUUCACUUUUAAUAGAAGAGUAAAUGAAGACAAUCUCUCUGUAAAGCAAUUCAUUAUCUUAAAAUAUUAUUCUUUGAAAUAGUAAUUUUUAGAAUCAGUUCCUAGAAAUAAUCAGUGACACACAGUUUUGUAUAUAGGAUAAAUAUAUUCAUCACAAUAUGAUUGACGGCAAAAUAACUGAGAAACAAAUGAAAUGUGAACUAUGAUAAUUGAAUUAUAGCCCUAAAAUGAAUACUAAUCAUUAAAAUGACAUUUUAAACUUUUCGGAAGAAUCGUUUAAUUAUUUUAUACAAACUAAUAUGUCAACAUUAUUUUAAGAAGCAAGGAAAAGAGUCAAAUAAAAUAACCAAAAUAUAUCUCUGUCCGGAAAUAGCACAUUUGGAGAACAUCAUUAUUGGUCUCUUAGUAUAUAGAUUUAUACAGAUUCUUUGAGUUCAUUAUGUUUGAGAAUAUUUUUGUCUUGCUGUUAUAAGUAAGCCAACAAAAGCUGUUUAUAGUAUUCUUGUGUUAUAAUAUAUUCUCCUUGGAUCUACAGAUAAUUCGUUCACUUGUGUCUGCAAUUUGUUACUAAAAAAAUCUAUGGCCAAUAUGACUAAGCCUACCUCUCAUCUCCAUGAGUGACUUGAUAUUUUCUGCAUGGACCCUGAAGAAUUUUUCAUUUUUCAACUUCAAUAGUAUAAUCG